GCUCGGCCAGGGCUGCCGCCUCCCGCCGGGCCGGCCGGGUGCGCGCGGGGCCGGCCGGGAGCGGCAGGCGCGGGCGCGCCGCGGGGCACGCUGGGAAGUGGAGUCUCCCAGCGACAGGGCCCACUGUGCCGUCAGCGCCGGGGAACAAACGUCUCCGGGAAGCUGCAGCUGAAGGAGUAUUAGCAGAAGAAGAGCCCUGGAGCAGCUUCAGGAACUAAGAAAAAACGCAAAACUAAAGACGACGGUCGGCCCGAGACUCCCACGGGCGAUGACCAGCAGCCUCCAGAGAAUCUCUCGGAGUCCGUUCACCAGCUCCAGGCAGAAAGAGAGCAGUAUGUAGAGAAAGUGAAGGUGUGGAGCAUUUGGCAGCAGUAGGUGCAACAGCUCUCUGAACAGGUCCAUGCAAAUGGCAGACGAGAAGGAGGAGCAUGUGGCCUGCGGAGAUGAUGACGUGGACUCCUGAGUUCGACCAGAAGACCUUUUAUUAGUCCAGAACCCACGCUUAUAAUAUCCUCGUUUGCUGUUCACGCGCCCCAUACUAAAAUAUCCUUGGUUAAUCAAUACUGUUCACGCACUUCUUGGCCACGUAUAAUUGGUUAAUUACUAAGCUGCAAAUGCACUGAACUUCUUGCAUUUUUUUUCUCUCUUCUUUCUUAUCUCUGCGGGUUUCAUGUUCUCAGCCAGCUGCCGAGAUGUGGCAUCGCGCAUCUGCUCUGGCCUUGCUUCAUUAUCCGUCUUCCUUCCAGGCGUUCAGCCAACCUUAUCUUACUUUCUCUCUUCUUUAGCCUUCAAGGCCCUUCACAGGCAUCGUGGCCUCCAGCACUGGCCAUAAAGCUCUCUACAAUUCCCCCGUCUUUAUUUUGAACAGAAACAACAUUAGAGGUUAAACUACUUUUGAAUCAUAGAUCUUACACAGUUUGGCAUACAGGGAAAAAUGGUCAAUAAAACAACAAUUACCAAUAGCAAUAUUCCUCCGCGUGUUGUAAACUCCUGCAACCAUCUGGUGGUUCCCCAAGACUUUAAAAGAUUCCGCAACCAAUCUCCCAAUAGUUCCUGCUGUAAGCCCUGUGACAUGUCGUUCAGUUUUUGUAACUGACUGUGAAUCGACGCGGAAUGGCCCGAAAGGUUCGUACAACACAUUCCUUAGCGCUGUGCACUGUAGGCUACUGCAGAGGAACGAAGCUGGGUUAAUCAGCACUGACAAUGUACAGCUGUGGGCUGGCUUCAGGGGCGGUGGGUUGGCUGGUGUAGACAAGGUGCAGCUGUGGCUGGUUCUGUGAAGCGGUUGGGCAGCCGAGGAAGAGAGGGGAGGAAGAAGCAGAGAGGGUGAGCGUGCCCUGGAUGAGGCGAGACUAGAAGGCAGCAGAGGGACUGCCAUGGAGAGUGUGAUGGUAAAAGACCUGGUUGCAGCUGGCUCGUUUGGAGAGUGCUGUGACAGGCCACACUCUGCUGUUCACUUGCCUUCUACAGGUGAGAUCACAUCCCUCCUUUCUUUCUGUCUCAUCCUGGUUUCUUCUCGUGCUCCCUCAAAAUUAUGUGACUCUUUGCUGCAGGUUCUCAGCUGCACAUUAUCGAUGUCGAAACAACCCACUGUCUCUGGUCUCUACAAUUCACCCCUGUUUGUGGUUUUUGGUUUUGUUUCUUUGCUGGUUUGGGUGUUUUUUGUAAAAGGUUGCUUUACCUUGUUAUGGAAUUGUCAUCCCUUUUAUUUUCUGUCUCAUUACUUAAUUACGAAUUUUAGCCUUCUUUUAUGUGCACGUUUGUACAUUUCAGUCGGGUUCACAAAAUGUUAAACUUGUUAUCGGUGCAUUUCCUACAGAGGUCAACAUACAGGUUUAUGAUUAUUUAUAAGAACAUGCAAUAAGCUAUGGAAGUGUUAUGAAAAUAUUUUUCAGAAACUUCUAAUCAAAUAAACGAGCAUGAGAAAUUGUGUUUAACUUGUAAAUUCUAUAUGUAAGCUGUUAAGAAACAUUUUCUCUCCUAAAAUGAGAAGAUAAAACCUACUUAAAAGCUCUUGAAAUCUUGCCCUUGGGCGAGUGUUCAGCUGUGCCUCCAUUCUAAAGCAUGGAAGUGGAAGUUGCGUAGAGCAAAGUUUCACUUUAAAUCGACUGUUACUGCUGCUUCUCAAAGAACCUGGAAGCACACAAUGAAGGCUUGGAACUAAGCAAACAGCUGAAUGGACACCUCUAGAUUGUUACUGGAAUUAAAUGUAGAAGUUAACUCUAACAGUUUCUCAAAAUGUUCUGGUUGCUUUGUGUUAGUGGUUUAUAUCUAGAUAGAUAUAGAAAACUAUACACAAACAGGGAAAUAAAAAAAUGCUUAAAAAAAAUAGGGAAAGAUAAGAGUAUACAGGAUUUAUAGCUUAGUCACUUUUU